CCUACGGGUGGCAGCAGUGGGGAAUAUUGGGCAAUGGGCGCAAGCCUGACCCAGCAACGCCGCGUGAAGGAAGAAGGCCCUCGGGUUGUUAACUUCUUUUGUCAGGGACGAAACAAAUGACGGUACCUGACGAAUAAGCCACUGCUAAAUACGUGCCAGCAGCCGCGGUAAUUCGUAGGUGGCACGCGUUAUCCGGAUUUACUGGGUGUAAAGGGCGUUUAGGCGGGAGAGCAAGUCAGACGUGAAAUUCCAGGGCUCAACCCUGGAACUGCAUUUGAAACUGUGUUUCUUGAGUGAUGGGGAGGGAGGCGGAAUUCCGUGUGUAGCGGUGAAAUGCGUAGAUAUACGGAGGAACACCAGUGGCGAAGGCGGCCUGCUGGACAUUAACUGACGCUGAGGCGCGAAAGCGUGGGGAGCAAACAGGAUUAGAUACCCUAGUAGUC
rnacentral:rRNA from 1 species